rnacentral:rRNA from 1 species
UACGUAGGGCGCAAGCGUUAUCCGGAAUUAUUGGGCGUAAAGAGCUCGUAGGCGGUUUGUCGCGUCUGCCGUGAAAGUCCGGGGCUCAACCCCGGAUCUGCGGUGGGUACGGGCAGACUAGAGUGAUGUAGGGGAGACUGGAAUUCCUGGUGUAGCGGUGAAAUGCGCAGAUAUCAGGAGGAACACCGGUGGCGAAGGCGGGUCUCUGGGACGGUAUUGACGCUAAGGCGCGAAAGCGUGGGGAGCAAGCAGG